AACCUAGCACACCUGCGGUGUGUACCUGCGGAGGGAUCAUUACCGAGUUUACAAACUCCCAACCCUUUGUGAACCUUACCAUAUCGUUGCUUCGGCGGGACCGCCCCGGCGCCUUCGGGCCCGGAACCAGGCGCCCGCCGGAGGCCCCAAACUCUUAUGUCUUUAGUGGUUUUCUCCUCUGAGUGACACAUAAACAAAUAAAUAAAAACUUUCAACAAUGGAUCUCAGAUCGGAAGAGCA
rnacentral:misc_RNA from 1 species